rnacentral:rRNA from 1 species
GUCUAAGGCCAUGCCACCCUAAGCAUGCCCAAUCUCGUCUGAUCUCGGAAACUAAGCAGGGUCAGGCCUGGUUAGUUCUUGGAAGGGAGACCACCUAGGAAGACCGGGUGUAGGCA